ACGUAAACUCUAGAAAAAUAGUUAACAAUGAUGAGAAUCACAGAUGUUUCUAAGCACUGAAUUCUAGAAUGUAUUUUAAGAUAUUAACUCAGUUUGAAGAGAUAUAUUUUUAAAACUAUGUAUGUGCUUAUGCACCAGUUUGCACACAUGCUUGUGGGUACCCACAGAGGCCAGAAGAGGGGCUCAGAUCCCCCAGAACUAUAGUUAUAGGUAGUUGUAAGUCAACUGACCUAGACGAUGGCAUGAGACUCUGGUCCUCACUUCUGAGCUCUCUCUAGUUCCCAUUUUAGAAGUUCGAGACUGGUUAAAAGGGAUGAAAAAUGAAUUCAUCAAGUAGAAGAAGAAUAAAUCUUGGUGUUAGAAGAAUAAGAACUGAAUGGACAUUAUUUUUUGUUAUAAGAAGAAUGUUGUACUGCUGAUGUUUUAAAUAGCUAUAAAUGUAUAAACAAACAUGAAUAUGUUUAUCAUCCUCUGACUAAACAUGUGUGACUGAAGAAUAGAUUCAUUCUUAGAAUUUUAGAAAAUAUUAAAAUCACUAUCUGGUGCCACAAUGUUAAUUUUUUUAGCCUACCUAUAUUUAUUUCAUUGAAUUAUUUGAAUAUUUGUCAUUUGGACUUACUAAGCUAGUGAAAAGUUACAAAUUUGAUAAAUAUUGCAUAUUUGUGUUAUGCUAAGUUGGUUUAAAUAACUGUCUUAGUUAAUGUUCUAUUGCUGACAAAACACGGUGAUUAUGCAAUUCUUAUAAAUAAAGGUAUUUAAUUGGGGCUGGCUUACAGUUUGAGAGGUUUAGUCCAUUUUCAUGGCAGGAAGCAUGGCAAUGCAUAGGCAGAUCUGGUGCUGGAGAAGAAUCUGUACCCUUUUCCAUCCUGAUCUGAAGGUAGCAAGAAGAGAGAUUCUUGGUCUGGUUUGACCUUUUAAAACCUUAAGGCCCACCCCACAAGUGACACAUUUCCUCCAACAAGGCCACCCCAACUCCAAAAAAAGUAGUGCCAUUCUUUAGGCAUUUAAAUUAUUGGGCCUAUGGGAGCGACUCUUAUACAAACCACCACAAUGACUAACAUUAUUUAAAGGCCCUUUGAAAAAAAUAUGGCUAAAUUCUGCUAUAUUCAAUAUUGCAUGCUGGAAACUUAAAUUUGUAAGAAAUAAGGAAAAAUGAAUAUUUUUAACCUUCUACUUAAACAUUUAACAAAAAAUAUAAGCCAAACUGAAAUUCCAAUAAGUUUUUCCUGUGAAUGACAAAAACGAAAAACCUUAUUUAUAAAAUGUAAGUAACCAUGGUUUACAUAAAAAUGCAUGCCUGACAAAUGAAGACUCCAUGGAUUUACAUAUGAUUCAAGAUUCCCAAUCAUUUAAGGACAUCAUACUUCAGAGUGGGUGAUGUUGCCAGUCAGUCCUAUGGUUCUUAGUCACACCUUCCUUACAGAGAGAGUAUGGGUUCGUUGUGUGAUAAAUGAGUCCUUAAAUUUCAUUAAACAAAGAGAAAUCAUAACCACUCUGUCCUCAGGAAAAAUUCAAAUCAGUUAAAACAAAAUGGGUACCCUCUCUAUUUUUCAAUCAAGAAAAAUAAGCCAAAUUACUAAUAUACCUAAUCUAAAUUCUGUUGUUAAGUUGACUAGACUCGUGCUAAGCAGAUGUAAGGAAACCUUUAGCCCUUACACUUAAAGGUUGUCAUGACUUUCAGAAUUAAAGAUAAUGGCUUAAAUGUCAGUGCUCAUGAACUUCUGUUUGGUUGCUACAAUAACAAGAUCAGUCCUCCUACAAGAAUACUCAUGAUUUUAAUUAUGAAAAAGACAUGGGAACAUUGAAGAGAUGGAAGUUUAUGUAUUGCACAGGAGGGGGACGUGCACACUAAAUUGGUCUUUGCUGGGUUACGAAGGGAAAGCACUUGACCUUGCAGAUUUAGAUUUCUGGUGGGUCCUUUAGAACAGUCGUCCUCGACCUUCUAAUAUUGACACCUUUUAGUACAGUUCCUCAAGUUGUGUGACCCCCAACCACAAAAUAAUUUUCUUACUACUUUAUAACUGUAAUUUGCUACUAUUAUGAGUUGUAGCAUAAAUAUCUGAUAUUCAACCGUAGUAGAAAAAUUGUUUGACCCACUAAAGGGGUCAUGACCCACAGGUUUAGUACCAUUGCUUUAGAGCCUCAGACAGGAGUUCCUCUCAUGGCUGCAGGGAGUACAGACUAGAGGAAGACCAGAGCAGCUGUCCUACUCUUUCUAUUGUAGUCCGGAAAAUUAUGAACCUAGUUUCCAUGUUAUAAAGCGGAACAUGUGCCAUAUCUAGUUGGUUUCCUUUGGACAAUGCAGAAGUUCAGUUCACAUUAUUAUGAGAGAUCCCUUUGACUUACAGUUCUAUUGGAAGUGCAUGCAUGAGCAUAGGUUAGCAGCUCACACAUGAGCAGUGUGCAGAUUUGUAGAUGUGGGGAUGGAGUCCAACUCCUAAACUUCAAACCCAGUGAAGUGGAAGAAUCUUUCUAGAUGUGAGGUAGCCACCCUAUUUUAAGAAGGGAAGACAUUGUGUUGAAGAAAUAAAUAGCUAUGGGAAAAACAAAAGAUAUCUAGAGUAAAAUUAAAUCAAACAGAAAGGCAAAAACAAACUACCUUAAAUAAGCAAUCAGGAAAUAUUCCUUAUCAGUGAUAAAGCUUCAUCAUCACCACCACCACAUCAUCAUCAUCAUCACCACCACAACCAUCAUCAUCACCAUCAUCACCACCACCACCAUCAUCAUCAUCAUCAUCAUCAUCACCACCACCACAACUGGCGGCGGCAGCAGCAGCAGCAACAACAACAACAGCAGCAGCAGCAGCAAGAGCAGCAGCAACAUUUUAAUGUGGGCAACAUUUAUUUUCUUAAAGACUUUUUAUCUGGGGAAAAUGGAAACUAAGCACCUGGCAGUGAGUGACAGAGUCUCAUUAUAGACAACACUAAGGAGUUCUUGGACCCACCUGGAGGAUGUCAGUGAAACAGCACACACGGUACAAUGACCAGUUUCUGCUUAAUUUUGCAGUACAAGGAAAUGUUCCCUGAAUUGUUGGUCAGUCCUGUUAGUGAGUUCUGGUGAUCCUGCACCAAGCAGUGGGUGUCACUAACUGCAGUGUUUGAAACAACAACAAAUAAAUUCCUGCUCAACCAAUCACCCAGGAAGACACAAUUGAUGGCAGAUAUCAAAAUCUGCAUCAGUUUGAUUGGAGAGUAAAGAUUCACGACUAUGAAAUAAAUAACACGGGUGAUAAAUUUGUAACUCCAAAAAGUUUGCUUAUAACAUUGUGGGCAAAGUUAUUUAAUGAAUUUUAACAAUGAAUAUUUGCUCCUCUGCUGAAAAGAGCGUAUAAAUCAGAAAUGCUUUUUAUUCAUAAAACAAAGAACGUCUUAUUGUACAUUGCUAGUGACCUUAACCUUGAAUAAAUAGAACUUAAUUCUCCCUCACUGCCGUCCAUGCAAUCAGCCUUUUCUUCUGCCAAGGAGAAAAAAAAAGCUGUUGCCAAAUUACUCCGAUUGUCCGGAAUGCUGGACAAAUAACGCAGGAAUGCUUUGAACUCAUGAAGCACCUCUCAUCCACCGAGUGCAAAAACACUUCAAAAAGAACAACUUGCACAUCCACACAAUUGCCAGACCCUUUUGGAUGAGUUAAGGCAGGCUGCUGCAUAGCAAUUAUAAAUUCUAUCAGGUUGAAAAAAAGACAUGAGAACUUGCAGAGCUAAAAUCAUUUUGGACAAGGAGGAGGCAAACAUACCAAGGACAAGUCUCCUGGACCUCAUGCCUGUGUACGCAGUGGUGAGAAGACGAUGAUCUCAGAGAAGGAGGGAUUCACUGGGGAUGGAAAUCAGUGACACAAAGAGGUAGCACAGAAGAGCCUCAGUAUUAUAGGUGUUUCUUAUUAAAUUUCAUUAAAUUGCCUGGGAUUGAACUCUGACCCUGGUACAGACUAGAUGAACACUUUACCACUUAGCUUUCCUCCUAGCCAUUGUUUCUUUCUUUCUUUUUUUCUAAUUUUUUAAAAAAAUAAGUGUAAAAUUUCCUCUAUACCCUACCAAGUAUCACAACCUCUUUCUAUUCAAUUUCAAAUUUAUGAUUUCUUUAAUUGUUGUUAUCUAUCUAUCUAUCUACCUACCAACCUACCUAUCAUUAUCAUCGUUUGUCUAUUGAGAUAUCUAGAUAUUUAAGUUUAAUCUCCUCAGUCAGUAAUGUUACUUGUGUGUAUGCCUUUCAGGCUGACCAUUUGAUAUUGGCUAAUGAUAUUGAGUGCAGCUGGCAAAGCAGUACUCUCCACGUCCCUCCACGUCAUGGUGGCAUCUUUGAUUUCAGCUUGGUAACUCAGAGAACUCGGUUCCAGGAUAGCUGCUGUAAAAUAGAGCUGACUUAGCCUUUAAAGGGGGUUAGGGAAGCUAGGCUGUUUUAAAUACAAGGUCAUCUGUUAACAAUACAGUGUGUUUUCAACACCAAGUCAUUGUACAAGUCUUAUGAUAAUAGUUGACGCUACACUAUUUUUUUAAGUGUUCUUUUUAAAUUGGGAUUUUAGAGAUCCCCAUCUGUUGCUACACAAUAUUCAUUUAGAUAAUCUUUCUAGCAAAAAUUCAGUUUCAUGUAGGAAACAAUCCUCUUUAUUCAGUGUCCAGACCUCACUUCAGCUGCAGUAUCUGAUUAGCUUAAUCAUCACAGUUCUGUGCCUACCCCCACCGUGUGAUGGAGGAAUGAAGAGAAUCAGCGAUUUAGAGCAUUGUUCUUAGUCCAGCCACUGGAAAGAUCUGUUGGCUCAGGUUUGGAGGUUCUUUUCUGUUGGAUACGAAUCCUCAUUUUUAAGGGUCUGGUAUAUGUUGUUAUAGCGGUUGUUCUGGGAAUGUAGCAGAGCAAAUUGCAUACAGUCUGACCAUGGCAGCAAAAAUGAGAAAGGGAAUGGAUUGAGGUGCCCCAGUCCCACUUAGAUGGAAUGCAGCUGAUGACCUAGGGACCUCUUAUUAGGCCCUACCUUCUAAUGGGUCCAUCAGCUCCCAAUAGAGCCACCUUGGGGACCAAACUUUCAGUAUCUGAGAAUUUAGGGAUUUUAAGAUCUAAAUGGCAGGUGACCUGUCUUCCGCAAUUAAAAAUGAAUACAGAUUUCUGUUAAAUACGAAGAGUAAGUUUGAAGUGUCUGUUGUACUUCACAGUGACUGUAGUUAAAGACAUAUUGUACAGAUGAAAAUUUCUGAAUUAAUUAUAUUUUCAGUGCUUGCACCACAACAAAAACAGACAUAGAUGUGAGGCGUCAGGAAGGACGCAUUAUAUUUUCCCUUGUGUGUCAAUCAGGCCUUGAGAACUGCCCCCAUUUGAAAAGAACUUAUGUGUCUAUUUGUGUAGGGAGCGGCUAAAGAUGGCGCCGACAUCCGGUGGUCGUUUGUGGUAAACACCUACAGCACAUGUGUUGGCAGACCCCCAGCACCUACAAGGCCAGGGUGAUAUUCAUGCUAAAUAGGUAUUUCAUGCUCCACCAAUCCCCAGUGGACAAAUUUACAGCCACAGCCUGUCUUGUAUUUAAGGCGAGUGCCUUUGUUCCCCGGGGUCCCCGUACUAUCAAUUAGGUGUUCCUGCAAUAAAGGCUGAUUGAGAAGGAUUCAACGGUGUUGCGUCUUCCUUGCCGGUCGAGGUGGGCACGACAUAUUUGUACUAGAUUUGUAUAUAUGAUAAAUAAGGACUAGCCAGAUGUGUUGAUUCCCAUCUAUAAACACAACUGGAGUGGCUGAUGCAGGAAGAUCAUGUGUUCAAGGCCAGUUUUGCUAUACAAUGAGACUCAAAAAGCAAAAUGAAACAUUAUAUAGAAUAUAGGUCUUUUUUAAUGGAAAUUUAUUGUAUUUAGGUUUAUACAUCUUAUAUAAGGAUACAUGCUAUUAAUACAUAUUUUACAUAUUUAGCUUUGAGAAUGUGAAAAUAAUCUCUUUAAUUUGUCCAAUAAGAUACAUACUGAAGGCUUUUUUGAUUAAUAAUGCAGUCAAGGCCUCGGUCCGGCUUCCUGACAACUGUUUAGCUCUCAGGUGCCAGUAAUCAUAUUUAAGAAAACAAGUAUGCAAAAUAGAAUUAUAGAUAUUGGGUUCAUGUUAACUUAUUGAGAAGAUUUCAAAUUUAGGUCUCAAGCAUUUUAAAUAAUAAGUAGCAUUUAACUUUUUUCUUUUUUGCAGCUGUUUUUAAAACUAUCAAGUUUAAAAAGAACUAACACAGGUAAAAAGCUGGGAAUUAACUAUUACAUAUGAACUGCUACUCAGUUAAAUAUUUAUUUGUUAUAAUUAUAUAUUACUGUAAUGUUUGUGAAGACCCUGGUACUCUAAGAAUUGGGAUAUGAAAGUUUCUUCAUAGCUAUACAGCAAAGUCACAACAAACCCAGAGUUCCUAGAAAGAAAUUGAGCUUCAUAAAAAAGUCCUGAAGGAGAGUUUAGAAAGGAACGGAAGUUGAUUCCAACCAAAGAAUAGAUGUAUUUGUUGCAGGAUGGUGUCAUGUAUGUAGCACAGAUGGACAUGUACUCCUUCACAUGACUCAUUCUAUACUAGCACAUGAAUUUUGGAGGGUUUUUUUUCCUACUCUACUUAAAACACUGAGACUUAAGCUAUCACAUUAACCUCACUACACCCUGUACAGUGCAUGGUUUCUCAUUUCUGCAUGGCAUGAGUGGUUGGCAGGAGUAAAAUUAAAUGCAGAUUUGGCCUGCAAGGAACACAAUCACAUGGAAAUGAGACUGGAGAGGAGGCCCAAGACAUACUGGUACAAGAAGCGUAAUUGCACCACGUGCUAUACAACCUUUAUCAGCUGCCACAUUGUUUUACAAAUAAAAAUAUAAACAAGAUAAACGUUAUAAAAGAAAAUUCAGUGAUAGCAAUGUUCUUUCAUUCUAGUUAUAAAUGCCAAUUCGACUGUCUCAGUGGACUGUGUCAAGCUAAGUUUCUCUAAGGUGACUGUGAGUUUAAAUUUCUUACUAAACGCAAAAUAAAGACUUAUUCAGGUGAUAAUUAAAACGUGCUUAGGGGGGUCUUAGACUUUCUGAGCAUGAGCUGUUGGUAACAUUUUCCUUCUUGUUUUGAAAUUUUCCUAACAUCUAUUCCACCAUUUACCUGUAGGUGAUAAGAAAUAAAUACCUUAAAAGGCUGCUUAUCCUUUUAUAUUUUUGUUGGGAGAAUACUAAUAGCUUCAGAAUGACAAGAAAACUCUCAAGUGAUUUUUAAAUUAUCUGUAAAAGUAAUAAUUGGAAAGCCCCAUCCUAAUGAAAAUUUACUUUUUAGUAAUAAGGCAAUAAUUUUAAAAACACUUUAAAAAUGUCAAUGCACUGUCAUAUUUUAACUUUAAACAUUUGAGAACAGGCAUGAUGCAUUGGUUUGGAUGCUUUAAAUUAUCAAUCAAAAAGCCAUUGUGACUGAAGGGUAAAAGUGAUUUAUGAUCAUAACUGAGAAGACCAGGAGUGGGUACUACAGGGUUAGCUGACUCAGCAGUUCAGAUGCUACAUUUUUCUUUUUUAAACUCUUCCUAAACUUGGCUUUCUUGCUAGGUUGCCUCAAGGUCUAGAAUAGCUAUUUUUUUCCAGGAGUUUGAUACCUCUCAAGAAAAUACAAAUUAAUUUUCUUAAACCUUAAUCUCAUCCCUAACAAAAAAAACUUUUUGUGACUCCCUUAAGUUAACCUUUGGCAAGAAACAAUGGAUUGAAAUGAAAUUUGUCCUGAACUAAGCAGUCAGUCCUUUCUUGUCCCUGACUUGGGACUUGGAAUGGGCUUCGGCAUUUUCUUCUCGUCCAGGGCAAGAUUGAGACUCAGAAAGAAGAAAAGGGAGAAAGUACUCACUCUUGUUUGAUAAUCAUCAAUUUCUGUCUAUUCAGAUAUAAUUUAAAAAACACAACUAAAAUUAUCUUAAUCAGCAGAAUUGUAGUGCCUCAAUAAUCAAGAAGUCAACUGUUAAUUUGUACUCAUAUGAGGCCUAAUUACAAAUGGGGGCUCAAGUUUUCAACUAUCCAGAUUUCAGCUGCUUUGAUUUCUUUCUAGGUGCUAUUCUGUAGGUCAGUUUCAUCUUUGUCUUCUGUUUGACAUGGUGUUGGCAACAUUGAUUGUAGUAGUUGCUCUUUUUCUGUCCUUACUCCAUGUUCUCUAGAGGAAGAGAAGGUUUUAGGUCUGGUUACUGUAAAAGAUGUAUUAGAGGCUCUGGUUGAUGUGUCCUCAUGGUCCAUUGGGUCUAAUAGGGAUUUAUGUCUGUUUUCAACCAAUAGCUGUAAUGAGCUCACAGAAAUGCAUCACCCAGGGACAAGCAUUAGGAUUAUUUAAACAGAUUAUAUCUAGACCAGUACAGAGGAUGAGGUCAGUGGUCAGUUCUUUAUUGAAAAUUAAGUAAGGGAAGAGAUGACAGAAAAGAUAGCAGGAAUAUCUAGCAUGCAUUUAAAUUAUAGAUAGAAAAGUUGAAAUGGAUUAAAAUGGUCUUCCCAUAGGCAUUUUGAUUACAGAUAGGGCUACAGAGAAGGUAUAAUGUCUCAAGCGGUGGACUUCCACUGUGUUGAAACUUUCCCCUAUGUUCUUCAAUAUUGUCUGGAUAGCAUACUGUUUACCUAUUUAUUACAAUUUUAUUCGUGUGUUUUUUUGGAACCCCUCCCAUGUCAGCAUUAAACACAGUGCUUUUAGGACUGUGAGGGUUUGGCUUCUCAUAGAUUGGGAUUUCCAGAUUCCAACACUGUUUAUAUGUGCUCUGUGUAGAAUAAGAUUUGUGGCAUUCAUUACUACAACUUGUACUUAGAAAUUCAACAACUUCAAACAUUUUAUAGACAAAAAAUUAUUUAACCCCUUUUCUAUUGGAUUAAACUCCUUUAAGGCUUCAAAUUAUAACAAAUGAGAGGACAUACAUCAUGUGAUUAGAUUAUGUUAUAAACUACUUUAUAUAUUAAACUGAAGUUAAUACUUUGUAGUUAAUUCUUAUAUAUCGACUUAUAUAAGCAAGAGUUAUAAUUAACAAUUUCAUUGAGAUUUAUUCUGCAUUGGUAGCUAUAAGGGCUUUUCUGUUGCUUGACAGUUUGAGUCUCAGGGAAAUAUAUUAAAUAUGAAGACAAUCUCAUAUGCUUUCUUCCAUUAGUCUUAAUGAUUUGGUUAGAAAAACCACAAGCAAAUAGCAAACUCUGAUAUUGAGAACAGCUGUCAUGUCAUUUAAAAUGAACUUCUACAGUGGGUUUAGGAUUGAAUCUCAAAGACUGGCAUGGUGCUUUUCCCAGUAGAAAGAAACUGUAAUUUCAUUGUUUGGUAAGACUGAAAAGACAACUGCGUUUGGAAGGAGGAUGUUUGGGAUGGACUAAAUAUUGUGAAAAGCAUGUGUGUCCUUUUGGGGCAAGCUGGAUUUUGGUAUUGGUACACUGUGAAGACGCUUUGAGGUCACAGGCCAGUAGUUCAUGGAUCCAUUGAAAGGAUAGAAAGGCAAUACUGGUUGUUAGAUACUUUUAAUGGCAUAAGUAUUUUAGCAGAAAGAAAAUCUUACACAAAUGCCAUUGCACAAGAAGACGAAAGUAAAAAUGUUCCAAUUGAGUCAAUGGAGAACUCCAAACCCUGAAAGGUCAUAUGUGUCUCAGUUACUUUCAUCCUCUCUGGCCUGCUGGCAGUGAAAAGUCUCAGAGAAUCCCCAUGGCCCUGUGGACAGUAUUUUAAAAUGCUUGAAAUGGAUUCACUUAAUGUUUCAGAUUGGAUUCACCAAUUCUUUGAGAAAGUAUAUGUACUAACCGAGUAGAUGCUUUCUUGGAACUUAUAUUCUGUUGAGGAAAAAGAAAGCAAAGAAACAAAAUGUGGCAUAGCUUAUAUUUAGCCAAGAAUAAAGACCUGAUUUUUAUCACCAAACCCAAAAUAGCAAAGUUAAGAGAGAAAAAAAUUAAAAAGGAAGAGUAAAUGAGUCGUAUGUAGAAUCCAAAAAGGGCAUAGUGAUCGCAUUGGGUAGGCCUUGAGGUCUUGUCCAGUGAGCUUAGAGAAAGUAUCUCUACCAAGAUGAUGUUUAAGCAGAGGCUUGAAAAAGUUGGAGGGAGAUACAAGCUUGACCUGCUGUAGCAACAGAUAGAAGUCCACUGAGGCUAGACCAUGAGCAAGACAGAGAAGAUAGUGAGGCCAAAAUUAGGAGAAAUUAUGGAAGCCCACAUCACUCAUAGCUCCAUGCUGUAUUGGACUUUGAAUUCUGUUUGGAGUUGGGCUGUUUACAGCUCCAGUGUGAGCUUGGGAAAAUAGAACCUAAAAAUGAGACAAUAGUCAACAUUAGUCGGACAAUCAGACAAUUCCUACCCUGAGUGUUAAGAAGAAUCACCUGAGAAAAUUGCACAAUCACAAGGAUAAGCCACACAUGAUAAAAACAUCUUUUUUUUUUCAUGUGACUAACAACUACUGACAUAAACUCACUUUUACCCAUUACACCUGGGAGGAGCAAAACAAAACAAAUAAAAAUCAAAAAAAAAAAAAAAGAAGAAAAAAGAAAAAAGAAAAAAAAACCUUAUUCCAAGAACAGUUCAAAACGGUGUUUUGAAGAAACUAAUAUCUUGUUUUCUUUUCUUCUUGUUUUCUUCCAGCCACUCAGAAUUCUCAUAGGAGUCUAUUUUUGGACUGUGUUCCAACACUGCAUAUAAUAGCAAAUGUCUGUAACUUCAACAUCUGGAUGAUGGAGUGUACUGGCUGGUUUUGUGUGUCAACUUGACACAAGCUGGAGCUAUCACAGAGAAAGGAGCCUCCCUUGAGGAAAUGCCUCCUUGCGCAGAUCCAGCAGCUACAGUUGUCUCAUUGGAAAGAUAAAGAAGAAAAAAGUAAAAACUUAACAACAGCAGCAGCAGCAGCAGCAGCAGCAACAACAACAACAACAACAACAGCAACGAAGGAGUUUAAAGACCAAAGAACUGAGAUUAGGGAUUAGGUUCCUUGAUUCAGAAGAACAUGGAACUCAAUCCAAACAGAAUUUUCAAAGAUACUACAAGCAGGGCUUUGGGACCGCACAGGUCUGCACACUGCAGUCCGUACUGGUAUUAGUGCCUUGGGCCCUGGACUCAGCUUCAUUCAGGAGGAGACAUAUAAGCAUUACUUCUUUGUUUGUUUGUUUGUUUGUUUGUUUGUUUGUUUGUGAGACAUGCUUUUCUGUGUUUCAGAGCACUGGCUGUCCUGGACUGACUUUGUAGACCAGGCUUUGAACUCACAGAGAUCUGCUUGCCUCUUUAAUCCCAAGUGCUGGGAAGGUGUGUGCCACCAUGCCCAUCUAAGCAUUGGCCCUUAGGGGCUGCCAACAAGGGUUACUUUUGACUAUGCUGUAAAAAGCCAUUUUAAUGUGGACUUUACCAUAAACAUAACAAUGCU